AUUCUUCAGAUUUUUUUCCCCAAAGGCCACCCCCUCCCAAAAAAAAAAAAAAUCCUUUCAAGCUGAAAGAUAGUAGAAUUUAGAAUUUUCAACCAAACGGGCAGGAAAAUCACAUGAGCCACCCCCAAAUCAGUGCAUUUUGAGUAUUUUUAAACCACAGCCAUUUGAAUACUGGUGGAGGGAGUAGACCCCUACUCACAAAACCAGAUUCCUCAAGCUGUUCCUGGACUCCAUUCAGAGUGGCGGAGAACCUUACUCCCGAAUGGAAAUUUCCUGUGUGAACCCCUCCCGUUCGAUAGGCAAAACCAAAUCCACGCAGGCAUCUUAAAGCGCUCUUUUGUCUUAACCUGAACACCCGGAGCGUCUUCAUGGUGACGUGUGUUAUCUCCAGUGCACGUAAGUUGUGGUACUUUUCCUGUAAAACUACUGCAUGGCCCACCUUCAGCAGUGAAGUGUGCCUCAUGGAGACCCCCUCGCUCUCUUAAGGUGACCUUUUCUUUAGCCAUGUACUGUUCACAUGGUGCAAUCUUUAGCCCCAGGGAGGUCAGUAAUGUCUUUUAAAGCCAGAAGUCCCAUUUUACUGAUAUGCAUUUCCCAUAAUUGGUGCUUAG
rnacentral:lncRNA from 1 species